GUUCCCACCAACCUAAAAUUUUUGGGUAUCUUUUGCUAAGACUAGUCGCAAAUAGGGAUGUUGUGGAAGGUUCAAAACCCUAACCAAGUUUCUCUACUUAGUACUUAACAGGAUUGAGCGGAUUCCCUGCCCGUAAGAGCAAAUGAUGACUCUAGAAAUUGAAGCUCCAGAUGUGAUCAAGAUCGUGUUCCAGUUCUGCAAAGAGAACUCGUUGUACCAAACGUUUCAGACAUUGUAGAACGAGUGCCAGGUCUCGCUCAAUACAGUGGAUGGUAUCGAGACGUUUGUUGCUGAUAUCAAUUGUGGAAGGGGAUGCUACAUUGCCUCAACUGGCUCAGCUCAAGCUCCCCAGGAAUAAAUUGGACUUGUAUGAGCAGGUUUGUAGAUUUGAUAUGUUACUUUUUGGUUAUUACCUAGUUGUAGUAUUGCCGUCUGAAUUGCUGGGUCUUUGGAGAAAGAUCUUGCGAACAGUCUUUACACUUCAGUGUUUGUUGCUCAUAUCUAUAGGGGUUUUCUUUCAAAGUCUGAAACUUGAACCUGCACCACAUUGGUGAUAAGCUAAAGCUUGUUUCUGGUUUGUGUUUCUGUCUAUAGAAGGUUUCUUGUCAUGCCAUAUUUUGUGUUUCCGCUUUCUAUAAGAGUUGUUCAACGACAUAAUUCUCCAAAAGUUAAUCUAAUUUAACAAAAACUUGCUUGUGUUUAAAUUUGAACAACUUUGUUAUUCUUGGCACAAGUUUGCUACGUCUUUUAAUUAAAAGAUGGAGAAGUGAAAAGAUGUUUUUUAAUCGAUGUUCUUGUUAUGCCUCCAUAGUUUCCAAUUGUCUUUGAGCCUUCUUCAAUCUUCAGUGAGGUGCAUCGUGCAUGUCAUAAUUCUGGCUGCAGUUGCUUUUGCCCCAUCCUCCAAUGGGCUCACUAUGAGCAUGAGCCCUAGCUAUCUGUAGCAAGACUCCAAAUCAUUUAAUUCUGAAGCACUUUGUUGCCUUGGAGAUUCUUUUGAUUGCUUUCUUUCUUCAAUGUUGCGAAUUGUAUUAGAAAUGAUAGAACUUCGAGAAUUAGAUACUGCACGUGCCAUUUUAAUGCAAACUCAGGCAAUGGGUGUCAUGAAGCAGGAGCAACCUGAGAGAUACUUGAGAUUACCAAUGGUUGCCACUUAUAGGCAUUUUCACUGUAAAAAUAAAGUGGAAUAUGAAAUUUUGAAGCUAUAAGGGCUAACAAUGCUCUAGAAAAAGAACAGGCUGAAUUGUUAGAUUCACAUUGAAUUGCAGGAUUCAAUCAUGACAUAGGUGCAUUUAGGAAUUCCAUACAUUCGAAGUAUGUAGGAGAGACAAUCAAAUCAAAUCAUAUGAAUUGAAUCAAGAAGCAUAAGAUUCCAAGAACAGUGGUUUGCAGGAAUUUCCUGUCUAUAUUACUUGCCGACCUGCUUUAGUUUCAUGCUCCGUGUAUGAUUUUUUCUGCUGCAGUUUGGAACAAAAAGUCAUGCAGAAUGUGCUCAGUUUUCACCAGAUGGGCAGUUCCUUGUCUUAUGCCUAUUGAUGGAUUCGUUGAGGAAACUUCUAUGAUGCAUGAUGAACCUGUCCUAUGUGUUGAUUUCAGCAGAUUCUGAGAUGAUCCCAUCAGGUUCCCAUGAAGUGAAGUCCAAAUAAGUUUAAUUGUGUGCUAGCGUUAUGUUUUUGAAAUUUUUUUCUUUAUAAUUCAACCCAAAUAGCACCUGCUGUUUUUAAAACAUAGAUCUUCUCGGAAUUGUUAAAAGCAUCCAUGGGGCUUGCUUACAAGCUGAUGGAUGUAUAAUCUUGUAAAACUCUUGUUUGAAUUGUGAAUUGUUUGAUCAACCGGGCUUGUACAUAAUAAUAAAAAUAUGAAUUUUCGUGAAUAAUUGGGGAAGAGCUAAAAAAUUGAUGUGUGCCUAAUGUUUGGAAAUGUUUUGAUUAUGGUUAGUUAGUGUGUGAUAGGUACAUGUUGAGAAAAAAGGCAAAAGAUUAAAUGUCUUAAUUCUGAAAGUUGCAAGGCAGCUUAUUUAUAUAAUAAUUCUAAAGUAGGAAUAUCUGAAGCUAGGAUAUUAGAAUAUACAAAAAUGUCAAUGCCUAUUUUACAACGUUAAUUAGGAAUCCUGAUUAUAGCCCUAAUUAGGAUAUAUAUAUACACAUAUAUAUAUAAUAAAGGGGAAAAAAAUCCUAAAUAGAAAAAUAUUUUCAAUUAGAUAUUUUUGUGCAGAUUGUGUGGAUCAAGAUGUUCGUAUUUUGGUAUGAAUUGUGCCAGUGAGAGAAAAAUUGACUGGAGCAAGUUGGAUUUGUACAUCAUGUUUUUCCAGGUGUGGUCCAAUUUGCAUCCUUGGGUGAGAUGUUUUGGAUAUGGUGGGUAGUGUGCAGUUCUUAAAUUUUUUGGCAAGGUUGUGAGGACUAGGAAGGCGGCUUAUCAAUCAAGGAAAAACAUUUUGGCAUCAACAUAGAACUACCACAAUAAUCUGGACUUCUCAUUUUGUGUUUUUCCAAUUAAGAUUUGCAUGAUAAGAAGUAAAAUCUGACAAAAACACAACACAUGAAAUUUUGAUAGUUAAAUGUGGAUAAACUUUUCUUGGUACCUAAUUUGUUGUUAGGUCUGGCAGAUAAGGACUAGUCAAUGCUGGUGUCAUCUCGAACGUGAGCAUUCUCAAGGAGUUACUAGUGUUGCCUUCUCUUGUGAUGGAAGCCAGCAAGUACAUCACAGUACGGCCAGUUUUGUAACCAUGUCUCAUGUUUGAUGUGGAAUACAUGGCCUAACGUCUGGGUGUGGGAAGUUGUUGAAGGAAUUCUGUGGCCACUCAUCCUAUGUGAAUGAUGCCAUUUUUACAAGUGAUGGAACUCAUGUUAUUACUGCAUCCAGUGAUUGCCAGUGAAGGUUUGGGAUGUGAAGAGUACAGAGUGUGUACAUACAUUUAGGCCGCCACCUCCAUCUUGUUUUACUUCCUGCCUGAUUGUCUCUCUCUAUGAACUGUUAGGGAGGUUGUGAAGAGUUUCUCAUCUGGUAAAAGAGAAGGUGGAGAAUUUGUUGCAGCAUGCUUGUCACCAAAAGAAGAAUGGAUCUAUUGUGUUGGUGAAGACAGGAAUAUGUACUGCUUCAGCCACCAAUCCGGUAAACUAGAGCAUUUUAUGAAGGGUCAUUGAGCGUAGUUGUCAAAACUCCAUAUCCAGAGUCUGUAUUGGUGUGGGCACAUGGAGUAAGCAUUCGGUCGGAUCGGAAUCAAACCGAAUAAAUUGAAAAUCAAAAUUUCAGUAUUUAUAAAAAUCGAACCGAAUCGAUGUUGGUCAAAAACCGAAUCGAACUGAACCGAUUUGAUUCGGUUCGGUUUGAUCAGUUUUGAUUUUUAAUAAAUUUUUUAUUUUUUACAUUUUAUUUUUAGUACUUUAAAAUUUAAUUAAAAUAUUUUAAUCUUAAUAUGAUUUAAUUUCUCUAUAUUAUUUAAAAAAACAUAUUAUUAUCACUAAUUGGUUCGGUUUGAUUUUUUUGAUUUUUUCUGAUCAAAAUCGAACCGAACCGAAAUAACUGAAAUUUCUGAAAUUAAAAAUCGAAUCGAAUUGAAUAAAAAAUCGAACUAAAUUUUCAAAUUAAUUCGGUUCGGUCGGUUUUUUCUGUUUGAACCAAAUACUGCUCGACCCAUAUAGGCUAAAAAUACUGAUAUUAGCCUUAGAUUUUUCUAUAUAGGUGAGUAUACAUCUUGUUUGAUGUGGCUUGGAGAAAUUUUCAAACCAACUCAAAUUAUUUAAUGAAGAAAUGAACUAGUACCUAGCUGAAAUUUAACCAUUUGCGUAGAAAAUUUAAAAUAAUAAUAAUUUAAUUAGGUAAAAGAAUUGCAUUUAUUUCAAACGCUUAAAAUAAUUAAACUUAUAUUUAGAUGGUGACUGCAAAGUAAAAAGAGGCUAAACUAAAUAAAUCUAUGCAACAUAUAUUUUAGUAGAAUUGUAUAAAGUAAAGUAGUUUAAUAAAUUGAUAAAUAGAAUAUCAUAAAUUUAAAAUUGAUAAUCAGCAUAAAUAAAAUUAAACAUUUAAAGCGUAUAUUAUGGAUUUAAUUAUAUUUAAUUAUAUGUAAAAAUGGUCUAUAACAAUUUGUGGUUUUUAAGGGUGUUUUUUAAUAUAACUUAACUGUUUUGAAAAGGUCAGAAAUUUGCAAAGCUUUCAAUUAGUUUAACAAUUUGAAUCGAUGGUAAAGGCGCUUGAGAAACUGUUUGGCAUUGACGUUGGAGGUGCUAUCAAGAAAAAUGCUUCCAUUGAAAAUGAUAAUGUACUUGCUUGUAUCAUUUAACUACAUUAGAAAUGUCAAAUUCAUUUUCUUGCAGGUAACCAAUGAAGGUCAUUUCUCCUGCAUCUCUCUUUCGCCCUCUCUCUAUGCAGCUUGAGUUGUGUUAUUUCUUUCAAUCAACCUACCCUUUUACUUUUUUGAGCAGUCCUUUCUUCUGGGAUUUAUAGACAAAGGUUAAUUAUUUGCUGAGAGUUGAUUGGGUCAUUUGGUUAAUUAUUUUGAGAUGCCGUUUAGUCCUAAGACUGAAAUGCUGCAGUUGGUGAACAACUGGCCUCUUCUGCUUUCAAGCAAUGGCUGUGGCUGCCUUCCCUGCGUGGGAGAGUUGAACAGACUAUAACAUUCACUAACCAUUACCCACCAAAGUUUUCAAUAGCAGUUGCCUCUUAACUCUCUUUCAUCCUUGUGCUUUCCCAUUAAGCAAUAGCUUGUGCUAAUUCAGUUCUUAUUCUGCCACAAGCUCUUUUUUUUUUUUUUUUUUUAAAUUAAAUAUUUGUUCAAUUAAUUGGUCGUUGAUUAAAUGAUUGUGCUCCUUUUUGAGGAAGAAAUUAUCAGCACUCAGCCUUCAGUAGUGGUUUGGGUUAUACAUUUGAUGUGGAGCUAUUGAGGGAUCAGGCAUGUGAAGGUGCUCCAUUAAGCAUGGCAGGCUUUCACACAUAUUUAAUCAAUUAUUGAAAAGUAAAAGCUCAAUGAGCACUUGCUUUUUUUAACU